CUUGAAUAAAAUAAGAGGUCCAGCCUGCCCAGUGAAAUUAUUCAACGGCCGCGGUAUCCUAACCGUGCGAAGGUAGCGUAAUCACUUGUUCUUUAAAUGAGGACUAGUAUGAAUGGCACCACGAGGGUUCUACUGUCUCCUUUUUUUAAUCAGUGAAACUAAUCUCCCCGUGAAGAAGCGGGGAUCUUUAUAUAAGACGAGAAGACCCUAUGGAGCUUUAAACAACCAACAUUUGCUACACCAUAACAUUUACCCUAAAAGAAGUAUAGCAUUAUGAUUACUAGUUUUCGAUUGGGGUGAUCACGGAGUAAAAUAUAACCUCCAUGCCGAAAGGGUUCUUACCCUGAGCAAAAAGCCACAGCUUUAAGCACUAAAAAAUUAACGCAGUUUGACCCAAUAUUUUGAUCAACGAAC
rnacentral:rRNA from 1 species